rnacentral:rRNA from 1 species
GAUGAACGCUAGCUACAGGCUUAACACAUGCAAGUCGAGGGACCGGCGCACGGGUGAGUAACACGUAUCCACCCUGCCAUUUACUCGGGGAUAGCCUUUCGAAAGAAAGAUUAAUACCCGCUAUAAAGGAUGGGGAUGCGUUCCAUUAGGUUGUUGGUGAGGUAACGGCCCACCGAGCCUUCGAUGGAUAGGGGUUCUGAGAGGAAGGUCCCCCACAUUGGAACUGAUACACGGUACAAACUCCUACGCGAGGCAGAAGUGAGGAAGAUUGGUCAAUGUGCGUUAGCCUGAACCAUCCAAGUAGCGUUAAGGAAGCAGGUUUAUGGGUCGUAAACUUCUUUUAUAUAAGAAUAUGUAUUAUAUGAAUAAGGAUCGGCUAACUCCGUGCCAGCAGCCGCGGUAAUAC